GUGGAAACAUCCAUGACGCUCGCAAGAGUGGAACAAGCACAGGUGCUGCAUGGCCGUCGUCAGCUCGUGUCGCGAGAUGUUGGGUUAAGUCCCGCAACGAGCGCAACCCUUGUGAACAGUUGCCAGCGCGUCAUGGCGGGAACUCUGUUCAGACUGCCCAGAUCAACUGGGAGGAAGGUGGGGACGACGUCAGGUCAGUAUGGCCCUUACGCCCAGGGCCGCACACGUACUACAAUGCCCGGCACAAUGAGAACCGAUACCGCGAGGUGGAGGAAAUCUGGAAAACCGGGCCCAGUUCGGAUUGGAGGCUGCAACCCGCCUCCAUGAAGUUGGAAUCGCUAGUAAUGGCACAUCAGCUACGGUGCCGUGAAUACGUUCCCGGGUCUUGUACACACCGCCCG
rnacentral:rRNA from 1 species